CGAAUGCUGACAUAAGUAACGAUAAAGCGGGUGAAAAGCCCGCUCGCCGGAAGACCAAGGGUUCCUGUCCAACGUUAAUCGGGGCAGGGUGAGUCGACCCCUAAGGCGAGGCCGAAAGGCGUAGUCGAUGGGAAACAGGUUAAUAUUCCUGUACUUGGUGUUACUGCGAAGGGGGGACGGAGAAGGCUAUGUUGGCCGGGCGACGGUUGUCCCGGUUUAAGCGUGUAGGCUGGUUUUCCAGGCAAAUCCGGAAAAUCAAGGCUGAGGCGU
rnacentral:rRNA from 1 species